rnacentral:sRNA from 1 species
GGUUGGAGGUUGCAGGGCCGGCGAGGAGGAGAAGUCAUGGCGGCUGCGCUGUUCGUGCUGCUGGGAUUCGCGCUGCUGGGCGCCCACGGAGCCUCCGGGGCUGCCGGCACAGUCUCCACUUCCAUAGAAAACACUGGCUCCAAGACACUCCUCACCUGCUUCUUGAAUGACAGCACCACAGAGGUCACCGGGCACCGCUGGCUGAAAGGGGGCGUGGUGCUGAAGGAGGACAUGCUGCCCGACCGGAAAACGGACUUCGAGGUGGACUCGGACGACCACUGGGAAGAGUACUCCUGCGUCUUCCUCCCCGAGCCCACGGGCAGGGCCGACUUCCAGCUCCACGGUGAGUCCUGCAGCCAGGGGUACCGGGCACCACUGACUGUCGGAGAAGCAUCCGGCACAUCCCAGAGCCCUGGCCCCCUGCUCCCUGGAGGGGAACAGCCCUCCUGCGGGAGGCGGGGGAGGGGGGCGGGCCUGCAGUUCCAGGCUCCUCUCUCUCACCCCCGUCAGGGCCUCCCAGAGUGAAGGCUGUGAAGUCGUCAGAACACAUCAACGAGGGG